rnacentral:ribozyme from 1 species
AACAGUCACAAACAAAAUAAAAAAAAGAAAUAUGAUCCCAAGAAACAACAAGAAGCAAGACAGGAAAAGUGGGUGCGUCAAAAACUCAACUCCUCCUUUUAUUUGCAUUCUAGUGCAGCACAUUCCUUUGUCAUAGCUCGGUCAA